UGCCCAGCAACUCCUAUCCCUACCUCCUCGUGGUACCGGCCGGAAACUAUGAGCAACCUUAGGGAAGAUCGGGUAACCAACCCCGGUGGGACCUUUGGUCGUAGGCUGACAGGGAAGG
rnacentral:ribozyme from 1 species